ACUACCUGUGAAGCUCUCAACGUGUGAGCAUAUUGCUUCGCGAAGAAAUUUUGUGUAUUUCUCGGGAUAGAACGAUUUUUCUCGUACUGGAGUGAAUCAGUGUAGCGACGCCGUGAAACUAUCAUCGGGAAUCUAUAUAAAUAAAAAUGAACAAUACAUGUAAAAAAUCACUAUCGAAAAGAUUUAAAUACGAAAUAAAACAAUAAUCAAACAAUACACGGGCAAGACGGGUUAUCACUGGCCUGAGUGUAGUGGAUUAUUCUAAAACUGAACACCAAUGUCCAAAAACUACAUUUGACUCCUCGACGACAAUUUUUUACAAUAUUCUACAACGAUUUAGCUGUUUUGAAGAUGAAGUGUUCGGAAGUAAUUCAUUCUAUAUCAACCGAUCUGGUGAAUUCUUUCUUCAAACGAAAUCCUUCGGACAUCAGGUCACAGUACUAUUUUUACCUUGACGCGCAUUGUUUCGUGGAGCUUACCAUGUUGGCACUCUCCUGGAUUAAUUUUCGAGAGCGAAACGAACAAAGCAGGUGUAUCAGCAGCCGAGGAAUGCAAUAUUCCAA